UACGUAGGGGGCAAGCGUUGUCCGGAAUCAUUGGGCGUAAAGCGCGUGUAGGCGGCUGAGUAAGUCUGCUCUGAAAGCCCGGGGCUCAACCCCGGGAGGCGGGUGGAUACUGCUCAGCUCGAGUCCGGAAGAGGAGUGUGGAAUUCCUGGUGUAGCGGUGAAAUGCGCAGAUAUCAGGAGGAACACCGGUGGCGAAGGCGGGACUCUGGGCCGAUACUGACGCUGGAGGAGCGAAAGCGUGGGGAGCGAACAGG
rnacentral:rRNA from 1 species